rnacentral:snoRNA from 1 species
ACCCUCCAGAUCCCUUAUCCAUAAUGCCUAAACACUGGUCUGAGUGGCCAUAAAAAGAGGAAAAGUGAAAGUUAAAGUUACUUAAAUUCUUUGUGACACAAAAAUUAGUUUAAAAAAAAA